AUGGAGGAACCUCUGACGCAGCGACGCCGCGUGAGUGAAGAAGGUCUUCGGAUCGUAAAACUCUGUCCUUGGUGAAGAUAAUGACGGUAGCCAAGGAGGAAGCCCCGGCUAACUACGUGCCAGCAGCCGCGGUAAUACGUAGGGGGCGAGCGUUGUCCGGAUUUACUGGGCGUAAAGGGUGAGUAGGCGGUAAUAUGUGUCAGAUGUAAAAGGCUAAGGCUUAACCAUAGUUAGCAUUUGAAACUGUAUUACUUGAGUGCAGGAGAGGUAAGUGGAAUUCCUAGUGUAGCGGUGAAAUGCGUAGAUAUUAGGAGGAACACCAGUGGCGAAGGCGACUUACUGGACUGUAACUGACGCUGAGUCACGAAAGCGUGGGUAGCAAACAGGAUUAGAUACCCUGGUAGUCCACGCCGUAAACGAUGAGUGCUAGGUGUUGGGUAGCGAUACUCAGUGCCGAAGUUAACACAAUAAGCACUCCGCCUGGGGAGUACGGUCG
rnacentral:rRNA from 1 species